GACAGAGGGUGCAAACGUUGUUCGGAAUUACUGGGCGUAAAGCGCGUGUAGGCGGCCCGGAAAGUCGGAUGUGAAAGCCCUGGGCUUAACCCGGGAAGUGCAUUCGAAACUCCCGGGCUUGAGUUCUGGAGAGGAAGGCGGAAUUCUCGGUGUAGAGGUGAAAUUCGUAGAUAUCGAGAGGAACACCGGUGGCGAAGGCGGCCUUCUGGACAGUGACUGACGCUGAGACGCGAAAGCGUGGGGAGCAAACAGG
rnacentral:rRNA from 1 species